GAUGAACGCUGGCGGCGUGCCUAAUACAUGCAAGUCGAGCGAACGGACGAGAAGCUUGCUUCUCUGAUGUUAGCGGCGGACGGGUGAGUAACACGUGGAUAACCUACCUAUCAGACUGGGAUAACUUCGGGAAACCGGAGCUAAUACCGGAUAAUAUUUUGAACCGCAUGGUUCAAAAGUUAAAGACGGUCUUGCUGUCACUUAUAGAUGGAUCCGCGAUGCAUUAGCUAGUUGGUAAGGUAACGGCUUACCAAGGCAACGAUGCAUAGCCGACCUGAGAGGGUGAUCGGCCACACUGGAACUGAGACACGGUCCAGACGCCUACGGGAGGCAGCAGUAGGGAAUCUUCCGCAAUGGGCGAAAGCCUGACGGAGCAACGCCGCGUGAGUGAUGAAGGUCUUCGGAUCGUAAAACUCUGUUAUUAGGGAAGAACAUAUGUGUAAGUAACUGUGCACAUCUUGACGGUACCUAAUCAGAAAGCCACGGCUAACUACGUG
rnacentral:rRNA from 1 species